rnacentral:lncRNA from 1 species
GUCAGGGGGUGGUAGUGGUGGAACCCCUGCCAAGGAUGCAUUAGGUAAUGAUGUCAUUGCAUCUGAAUGGCUCAAAACUCAUCCACCCGGCAACCGAACUCUCACGCAAGGACUAAAGGUACUGUUACCUUUUCUUUUAUCGCAUCACAAUUUAUUUGUGAAUUCAGUGUUUGCUUGAUGAUCUUAAGAUUACAAGAAAUGACAUCUUGUUCAUGGCAUCGUUUGGACAAUUAUACUAACAUGGUAGUUUGAUUUAUUCUGGUGUUGUGAUAUUGUUUUCGAUGAAAUUUUAGGGAGAUCCUACUUACCUUGUUGUGGAGAAUGAUGGAACACUUGCAACCUAUGGUAUUAAUGCUGUGUGUACUCACCUUGGUUGUGUUGUGCCAUUUAAUGCUGCUGAGAACAAGUUUAUUUGCCCCUGCCAUGGAUCUCAAUAUAACAACCAAGGAAGAGUUGUUAGAGGACCUGCUCCUUUGGU